CCCCCUUGGUGUGCAUACAUUUGUUCUCUACAUCUGUGUCUCUAUUUCUGCCUUGCAAAGCGCUGAAUUCUUGUCAUGUGGAAAGAGACACCCUGCCUAAAACUUUUCAUGUAAUUUCAUUAUCAAAUAGUACACCAUGAUUAGAGUCCCAGCCCUCGGAGGAAGGGAGCAGGCAAAAAUGCCUGUACCUGAUGGACAAAUGAACAGCGAGCUGCGUUCAGAGGUGGGCAGGACAGUGAGGCAAGGAAAGUGAGAGGUGGGUUGUAUAGGAGGAGAGUCUCCUUUUACUGAUGUGGAAAUUGAGGCUCGGAGCAGUGGGUCUGAGGUCACACAGCCCAGAAGUGGAAAGUCAGCCCAGGUCUCUGAUUCUCCAGCUCCUGGGCCGGCUCUGUCAUCCCACCCCGCUGGACUGGAGCCUCUUGGAAACUCCUAGAUGAAUGGACCUUCGCUGUGGUGGGGAGCUCUUGCUUCCUGUCCCUGUAUCCUGACCCUGUCCUGGUCCCCAGGCCUCAGCAGGCCCUGGAUUGCCAGGUGUCAUUUGGGAUGCAUUUGUAUGAGAGAGGAGUUUCCUUAAAUUCUAACAACAGAAACUAGUUUGAAACGUAGCUGGCCUGGCAGUGUCACCGUGUGAGCACCCUGUCACUGGGCAUCUCUUUAGCAGCACGUGAUUUAGAAGCGACACUUGCAGCCACUGGUGAGAACGGUACAUCCACCUGAAAGUCAGGAUACUCAGGUGAUGUCGACUGAGUUCCGCUGGAACUGUGUUGCUUUGCUGUGAAUCCAGAGCCCGUCUUCUCACUUAGCUAACGACGUACUGGGAGACUAACUAACGACGUACAGGGUCUUUCGUUAUUGUUCUCAAGUGCUGGGGUCUGAUUUCCUUCCUGAGACGCUCAUCCUUUAAAAGGAAGCACUGGGACGAGAUGAUUUAUGUGUAGACCCGUGUCUUCACAGCAUGAAAUGAAGCAUAGAGGUGGGAGUUGUCUACUGAGUAUCCCGUCUCCAUAUCUAGGAAGAAAAGUAAAGGUUUUUUGCGGAUUUGGGCCAAUACAGAAUAUAUAUAUUUUUUAAGUACGGGGGUUGGGGAGGAAGACAUUUGGUCAUAACAGCUGUCAUUUGCUGGGCCCCUACUGAUUCCCAGCUGGCCCUGUGCCAGCCAGGUCAGACAGGUGUCCCCCUUUGUCUCAGAGGGCAGGGAGGCUCUUGGAGAUCACAGGGAAGAAGCUUUCAGUCAUCCGGAUGUGCAGGAGCUAGGAGCACGGAAUGGCAGUGGAGGAAGGAGGGAAAUGGGGCUGGAGGGGGAGAAAAACAAUCCUGGCUCUAGAAGGGGAAGGCGGGCGUGAAUCAGCAAGUGGUAAGGGGCGGGGAGGUGGCAGGAGAAAGCAGGUUCUCAGUCUCUGCUGAUUUCGAAAAGGAUGUACAGGAAACGCGAGCAGCCUCUUUCAUCAGCAGCAGCUACAUGCAGCAUUGAUGCCUUCUUCCAGGUGCAGGCCCAGGGCCAGGUGCGUGGGAGCUGAGAGGCAGCGCUCAGAGCAGUAGGCGAGGCAGAACUUGCAAGUCGGAGUUCCACAGUGCUGCCCAGAGUGCGGCAGGAGUCUGCAUUAGCGACUCUGACAUUGGAGUGGUCUGGGGCGACUUCACUGGCCUGGCCUGAGAGCUGGGGUCCUCUACAUGACAAUACCUGCCCGGCACUUGGAGCGGCAUACAGUCCCUUGUACAGCUGCGAAAUCAUUAUUCGCAGUUGGUUUUGAACAGUGAGCUCCGUGUCUGGGCAAGACCUGUCUCCUCCGCCCGUCCUGAAGGACAUUUGGAUUGGUCAUCUUCCGAUGUUUGGCAGCCUCCUCACUCUUCCUGACGUCACAUCAAAGCAGGCAAUCUGACAUCUUAAAGGUUUUGAAGAGGAAACAUUUCAAAGGAACACAGGCUGUAAAAGAAGAAAUCUUCAUGGACUCUGUGUGGGUGGUGCGCCAGUCCAUCCUUCAUUGAGGCCAUGAGAUCUUCUAAUCCCUUGGGUGUUCCCAUGUUCUCCAGUGAGAACUCCUCCACUUCAUUUGGUGCCAUGGGAAAAACCUGAAGGACAGGAAGAAUUGCUCCCGACCUUGUGGCUUUUUCCAGGAUUGCAAUGGCUCUUACAGACCAUGACAAUUGGAGAUCAUUCGUGUUGUCUUUCGGAGUCGAACCAAAGAACACGCUUCCUCAUUCUCUGGUGUUUUAGCGCCUGAUCAUUUUUAUAUUUGUUUCUGUUGCUUGUGUCUUUCAACCAUUGUAUGUGAUCACGAGACGUCCUUGAAGUUUUCCAGCACGACUUGCAGGCAUCCGGACUCCCUGGGGACUCGCCCAUGGCUCGGCGGGCCAGCAGCCCAAGGGCAUUACGAUGAGGCACUGCAUGAACUGCUGCAUCCAGCUGUUGCCCGACGAAGCACACACACAGCAGGUCAGCUGCCGAGGAGGCCCCCAUCACAGUCGCCAGGAGUGCCCCAUGUGCAAAGGAGAAAACAAAAUUGUGUUUCGAGUGGACGGUAAGCAGAUGAACUUGCUUGCCGUUCUCGAAGUGAGGGCUGAAGGGAAUGAGAGCUGGAGUGGGUUUUUGCGCUUCAAGAAGGGGAAGCGAUGCAGCCUCGUAUUUGGAUUGAUAAUAAUGACGUUGGUGAUGGCUUCUUACAUCCUUUCUGGGGUCCACCAAGAGCUUCUGAUCUCAUCACCUUUCCAUUACGGAGCCCUCCCCAGCAAUCCCAGCUUGAUGGAUGGUGAAAAUCCGAGUGACACAAAAGAGCAUCAUCACCAACCCUCUGUAAAUAAUAUUUCGUACGUGAAGGACGAUCCAAGCAUUAAAUUAAUUAUCAGCAGCAUCACAGCCAGGAUUGAGUUCACAACCAGACAGCUCCCAGACGUGGAAGAUCUCAAGAAGCAGGAAUUGCACAUGUUUUCAGUCAUCCCGCACAAAUUCCUCCCCAACAGUAAGAGCCCCUGUUGGUACGAGGAGUUCACGGGGAGGAACACCACCGACCCCUAUCUGACCAACUCCUACGUGCUCUACUCCAAGCGCUUCCGCUCCACCUUCGACGCCCUGCGCAAGGCCUUCUGGGGCCACCUGUCCCACGCGCACGGCAAGCACUUCCGCCUCCGCUGCCUGCCGCACUUCUACAUCAUCGGGCAGCCCAAGUGCGGCACCACCGACCUCUACGACCGCCUGCGGCUGCACCCGGAAGUGAAGUUCUCCGCCAUCAAGGAGCCGCACUGGUGGACCCGGAAGCGCUUCGGAAUCGUCCGCCUGAGAGAUGGUCUGCGGGACCGCUAUCCCGUGGAAGAUUAUCUGGACCUCUUUGACCUGGCUGCACACCAGAUUCAUCAAGGACUGCAGGCCAGCUCUGCCAAGGAACAGAGCAAGAUGAAUAGAAUCAUUAUCGGGGAGGCCAGCGCCUCCACCAUGUGGGAUAACAACGCCUGGACGUUCUUCUACGACAACAGCACGGAUGGCGAGCCCCCCUUUCUGACCCAGGACUUCAUCCACGCCUUUCAGCCAGACGCGAAACUGAUCGUCAUGCUGAGGGACCCUGUGGAGAGGUUGUACUCAGACUAUCUCUACUUUGCAAGUUCGAAUAAAUCUGCAGAUGACUUCCAUGAGAAAGUGACAGAAGCGCUGCAGCUGUUUGAAACUUGCGUGCUGGGUUAUUCACUGCGCGCCUGUGUCUACAACAACACUCUUAACAACGCCAUGCCUGUGAGGCUGCAGGUCGGGCUGUACGCCGUGUACCUUCUGGACUGGCUCACGGUCUUUAAUAAAGAACAGUUCCUCAUUCUCCGCCUGGAAGACCACGCCUCUAACGUCAAGCACACCAUGCACAGGGUCUUCCAGUUUCUCAGCCUCGGGCCCUUAAGUGAGAAACAAGAGGCCUUGAUGACCAAGAGCCCCGCAUCCAAUGCGCGGCGUCCCGAGGACCGGAACCUGGGGCCCAUGUGGCCGGUCACACAGAGGCUCCUGCGGGACUUCUACGGGCCUUUUAAUGCCCGGCUGGCGCAGGUCCUCGCCGACGAGGCCUUCCUGUGGAAGAAGACGUGACGCCGGGUUCCCGCUGCCACCAUGAUUUCCAUGCUUUGAAAAUCUCUCUUGGUGGGGAACCCUUUUGCUCAGAGCCUGGAGAAAACCCUUCCCCGGCCCACGUUUAUGGAAACCAGUUCAGAAUUUCCUUUGUGAUGUUAAACAGCCCGGCGAUGGACCCUUCACUGAGCCUCGGAUGGAGGCUGUUGGAAAUUCCACUUGGGAAAGGGUCCCCUUCUGCUCCGAGAGUGGCUGGGGUCCGGGAUGAGGCCGGCGGACGCUGGGCUGGGUGCCGGGAGGGAAGCGUGGAGUCUGGGCUUUGACAGUUCUGGGUGGAGGUCCCGCCCCGGGGCUGGCCAGACGUACAGUAUACAUUCAGCUUCGAAACCCUCUGUCUGGAUCACUAACCUCAUUUUGGCGGAGAAUGGCGGCUCUCAUUUUUUUUUCCCUUUUACCCCAACGUCAGCCCUUCCGUCUCUUCAGAUUUCAACCCUGUUAACUUCACUGUUGACGAGAAAAAAGACAAAAGUCGAUUUUUGGUAGCACAUUUGUGUCUGGGACCCCCUCCCCUUCUGGCCUUGUGGACUUCACUUAUGUUUAACAGAAAACGAACGCAUUUAAAACAAACCACUUUCUACGUUUCACUGGCUGGAGUUUUCUUUUCUGGCCCUUUAGAUGUUUUCUCAAGGUUUUUUUCAGUUUCUAAUUGGAAUAUAACUUCAGUUUAAAAUCGGAAGGGAAAGUUUUGCUGUUAAUGCCAGACUGAGCACCUCGAAGGAACUGAUGGAAAAUCUGGGCAUCUUGGCCGUCGCCGUGCAUCUGAGGUCCUCAGAGAACCGCAGCCGUUUGAGGUUUUAGUUGCAGGUGCGACAGGCUCCGCUGCUCUGCCUUUCCUCCCAAGUGAACUUGUUAGCACAUUCUCCACCGUGUGUGGACAGAGGUCCUUCCUCACUCAACGAACUGUAGGAUGCUUUUUUCUGAUUCGGAAGCACAGCACGUGAGCUAUGCCUGGGCCAGGCAUGCUGUGCUGGGAUUUGGAACGAGAAUGCCGGGAGCUGUGUCCUUAACAGAACUUCCUGGGCCACUUGGCAUCCUGGUUUACUGUUGGAUGGGCUGAAGGUCUUGCUGUUACUUGGAGGUGAUGGGAAAGAUUGAACACAGUCCUUGCGCACAGCCCCAGGUGGGACCCCAACCAAGCCUUGCACGUGGUCGUCAAGGGAAGCUUCUGCGAAUCAGAGCUCCCCAAGUCGAGGUCCCGGAUGCACACCAGUCAGAGAAUGCAAAUGCCCGCACUCCCAGCCGCCAGUCGUGGGAGUGAGGAUUUGCUGAGCUGUCCAGCCCUAGUGCCGUUGGAGAUGGGAUGCUCAGCCCACUUGAAGGCGUGUGGAGGGCUCUGAAUGGCACGGCCGGGCUGUUUCUGCUGUGAAGGAGCCAUGGGCCUGAACACCCACUUUCAGGGACAGGCCCCCAUUUCUCUCCCGGUGGCCCUCGGAGCAGCAGCCAGCAGGCAAACCUGGCCUGAGCACAAGGAACCUCCCUUCCAGACCUCCUAGGAGGAGCAGAGAGAGGGAUGUUCAACAGCUGAACUUGAACUUGAACUUGAACGGGGAACGUGUGCUCCUGAACCGAGCAUGUCAACUUCACCGAGAGCAUCAGGCAAGGGGCUGGAAACAAAGGCAGCGACCGUCCUCGUGGAAGAUGACCAGGCCUGGUGCACUCAGGAGAAGCGCUGAGAGCUUGCCAAAAACCCAGGCAGAAGGCACAGGGCCUCCUUCGUCCUUCUGUCUGCAGUAACCUUGAACUUCAAGGAGCUGAACGGGCCUGGUGCCAGGAGCUAAAUUGGAGCAACCGCUGGCCCCAAAUUAGGAAUUUAUAAGCGGCUCUGGGCUUAUAAGCAUCAAAAGCAUAUUCUUGCCCCAGUAGAGUUCGCCGGGAUCCAGAAAGAGUCGCACAAAGAGAGACCAAGAGAAACAAAAUCUCUGGAGAGUUACAUUUGGGGUGGCUGGAGGCUAGGUCGGCCCUCGGGUGACCUACGUGUCCCGGUUUCCCAGGACUUUCUUGAGUUCAGCACUGAAAGUCCUGCAUUCUGGAAACCCGCUUGGUCCGGUCACCCGGUUGGCCUGGUGGCUGGAAUUGCAGGACAGUGGAGAGCCAUGGACUCCUGUUCUGUCCCUCUGCUGGGUCCUGCUCACCUGGCUGGCUGUGGGCUGGGGCUCGAGGGGCAAGGCCUCCCAGCAGCCCCCAUGGCUGGGGGCACCUGCAGCGUUUGGGGGACAAGCCUCGUCCCUGAAGAGCACGGGGAGAGAGUCCCUCUUCUCGUUGCUGCCACUUCCCGUCCGACACCUGGAAGGAAAUCUGUGUGGCCUGAGUGUAUGCGGAGGGGCAAGGACUUGAUGGAAAGCUUUCCAUAAACACAGACCAGCAGGGCAAAGGGCGGGGUUCUCAGACAAGGCAGGCACCUCCCUGGUUGCAGCUGAUGGUGGUACAUGCACAUCCCUUGGUGCCCAGCAUCUUCAGGCCCCUGUCCUCACCACUGUGUCUCCAGUGUGAGGCAAGGCGGGGAGGCCUGGGGGGACGGUGGCACAGAAGACCCCCUCCCCUUCUGCCCCGAGCCUGCUUCCUAGGCUGGGAAUUAGAGGACAUUUAUUUAAAUAUUUUAAAAUAGCACCCAAACAGUUUGACCGUCCUUGCCAGGAGAAAAGAUGAAGCAGCACCCCGUGCGCCGAGCUGGCCCCCUCUCCGCAGAGAACAGACCUCAGGGGCCUGGGAAGCGGUCUGCGAGGAGCGAGCUGGCGGCCAAGCUUCCUGCCCUGAGCCCGGAGCCCUGAGCACUGUGGUAUUCCCUCGUCAGGGGUUUGCAGUGACAAUGGGAUGCUGAAAUUCAGAACAUCCUUACCACCCCUCACUCCCAAAAUAUAUUUAUAUACGUUUGCACUGUU